rnacentral:rRNA from 1 species
UGAGGAAUCUUGGACAAUGGGCGAAAGCCUGAUCCAGCGACGCCGCGUGAAGGAAGAAGUCCUUCGGGAUGUAAACUUCUGAAUUAGCCGAAUAAGAGGGUAGCGGAUACGCUACAGAAGAAGGUAGGCUAAGAAAAGUCCCGGCUAACUACGUGCCAGCAGCCGCGGUAAGACGUAGGGGGCGAGCGUUGCCCGGAAUUACUGGGUGUAAAGGGGGCGUAGGCGGACUAAGAAGUCAUCUGUGAAAACCUAUUGCUCAACGAUAGGCUUGCGGAUGAAACUGGUAGUCUUGAGUGCACCAGAGGUAGACGGAAUUACCUGAGUAGGGGUGAAAUCCGCAGAUACAGGUAAGAAGGCCGGUGGAGAAGUCGGUCUACUGGGGUGUAACAGACGCUGAGGCCCGGAAGCUAGGGGAGCGAACC